ACACGAGGCUGGAUGGAAACUUAACAUCUGUAAUCCAGGUGUGACAGAGAUUGUUGGAAAAGCUCCAACAAAAUGAGGAAGAGGAGGGGGAGAAACACAAUUAGAUUGAAUUACAAUUGGAUGGAAGGCGAGGACAAGGAGAAGGAAGCUUAGGAUGAGGAGGAAGACAAGCAGCAGGAGCAUCUUUAGGGAUCUCUAUGAUGUCAUUGAGAGGCAGCGGCGAGAGGGGAGACCUUGGCUUAUCCAGCUGGAGAGCUUGACCAGGAGGAGUCGAACAUUAACUCUGCUCUUCCAGACCACCCUGCAGACUCGGCUGCUGGCAUCGACAAGGGAUGACGUGAACCAUUAAAGACCAGAAAACCAUCACAGCUGAGUCUGGACAGGACGUCACUCUGACAUGUCGAGCUCCAAAUAACAACAUCAGACGUGUGUAUUGGAGCAGAGAUGACCUGUUGCCAGAAAAUGUGUUUUUGUACUAGCAUUGUCGUUUCGAUCCAGACGACCAGCAUCCAUCUUUUAAGAACCGGGUGGAUCUGCAGGACAGACAGAUGAAGGAUGGAGACGUGUCUUUGAUUCUGAAGGAUGUGACGAUUAAUAAUGCUGAAACAUACGAGUGUGCUGUUUACAUGGAAGAAACUCACUCAUGGGAGCUCAUCAGCAUCAUCUACCUCAGGGUUUCUCCAGGUUCCUUGCCACCUGGGGACUCCUUCAGGACCAUUGCGUUCAGUUUCAGAAUCGGUGUGUCCACGGUGUGCCAGAUCACCCCCCAGGUAGUGACGGCCAUCUGGGACUGUCUAGUGGACGACUUCAUAGCUGUGUCUUCACCUGGAGACUGGCGGUCCAUCACAGAGGGAUUUCAGGAGCGCUGGAACUUCCCUCUCUGCUGUGGAACUCUGGAUGGGAAGCACGUCCAGACAAAGGCACCCCAUAUAUCAUAUAGGA